rnacentral:tRNA from 1 species
GCCAGCGUAGCUCAGUUGGAAGAGCUACUGAUUUGUAAUCAGUAGGUCGGGGGUUCGAAUCCCUUCGCUGGCU